GCACGUAGUUAGCCGGUGCUUAUUCUUCAGGUACUGUCAUCCUCCCGAGGUAUUAACCCAGAAGAUUUCUUCCCUGACAAAAGCAGUUUACAACCCGAAGGCCUUCUUCCUGCACGCGGCAUUGCUGGAUCAGGCUUGCGCCCAUUGUCCAAAAUUCCCCA
rnacentral:rRNA from 1 species